AUACGGAAGGUCCGGGCGUUAUCCGGAUUUAUUGGGUUUAAAGGGAGCGCAGGCGGAGAUGCAAGCGUGACGUCAAAUUUCGGGGCUCAACCCCGUCUCGCGUCGCGAACUGCGUCCCUUGGUUGCGGGAAGGGGAGGCGGAACUCGUGGUGUAGCGGUGAAAUGCAUAGAUAUCACGAAGAACUCCGAUCGCGAAGGCAGCCUUCCGGCCCGUCAACGACGCUCAUGCUCGAAGGUGCGGGUAUCAAACAGGAUUAGAUACCCUGGUAGUCCGCACAGUAAACGAUGGACACCCGCGGUUUGGCCUAUAUGGCUGAGCCGCCAAGCGAGAGCGUUAAGUGUCCCACCUGGGGAGUACGCCGGCAACGGUGAAACUCAAAGGAAUUGACGGGG
rnacentral:rRNA from 1 species